rnacentral:rRNA from 1 species
AUCUGGGCGGCGGAAUUCAGGAUGGCGGGCGCGUCUUCGCGGCGCGUUCGUCGUUUGAUAUUUCCGUCGCCGACUCAACCCGCAGACGUCGCGACCUGUUCGCGGUCGGUCCUUGCUCGGAGGAGUCACGUUCGAGUUUGUUGCGUGCGCGUUUCUGCGCGUUACGCGGCAAAGGCGUGAAUCUCUGGCUGGCCGUCGGACAGUACGCUUAACGGUGUCCGGUGUCGUCGUCUCGUACGCGCGCGCACCGGUACCGGUCGGCGACGAAUUCUUCGGGCCUCUUUCCGACCCGUCUUGAAACACGGACCAAGGAGUCUAACAUGCGCGCGAGUCGCGGGGUGUCGAGCGCAUCACGGUGCGUUCGUUACAUUGCGAAACCCGUACAUGUUGAAGGCGUAAUGAAAGUAAAUGGGGAAGAUGGUGUUCCGAGUACACGUUCCGCGGUCAUUGGUACCGCGGCCGGACACCCGCAUUCCCGGGGCGUCUCAACGGCCCGUCGCGGAUGCGGGCAGUCGUCUCUCGGGGCGGCUGUCGGUCUGCGACGAACCGA